CAGAUUUUAAAUCAGAAUGACGCAUGUACGUUGCUGAGUCUGGCACUCGUUGAAAAUUAAAACUCAAUCGGAGCCUGCGACUCGAUUCCGUCGCUUACAAGUUACAAACGCUUAACGCUUAAUAAAAAUAAGAAGAGAGAGGUCACCACCGAAGCAGUGAAGCCAUUGGUGGAUCUCGCAGCGGAGAAGGCGAUGGUGGUUCUGAGCAGUCAUACAACAAUCGAGGAGAACAAAAGCUCAGCCGGAAGCUAUGACGCGAUUCCGCCGCUUACAACGCUCUAGAAGUUGUGCACGCUUCAGCAAAACAAGGAGAGUUGAUUCACCACCAGAGGGGUGAAUCCGUUGGUAGACUUUUGGGGCAAAGUAGGGGACUGUAGUGGUGAAAUGGUAGAGAAGGCGAUUUGGAGGCUAUGUGGACAUUGUUUCAAAAAAGUAAUUUCCUUUUCACACAAAGGACUAAUUUCCUUUUCACACAAAGGACAUUUUUACCAUACUUGGAUCGAGUUUGUUUAAGAUAGUGUUUGUGAGAUAUGGUUUAAAUCUUUUUGCUAAGCUGUUGGAUUAUCUUUGCCACUGUUUUUUUUUGGUCAAAUCUUUGCCACUGGUUUAGAUAUCGUUUAUGUUCAUAAAUGUGGCGUCAUUCUUGUAAAAUGACAGUAACUGAAUCCGAGAUGCGAUCAUAUGGGUCACUUGCAACGAAGAUUUCAUAUUGGCUGGGUAACUAAAUGUCUUCGCUUUAUGGUUUGAGCUUGUGUUUCUCAUGUUUGUUAGAUUUGAUUUACUAAUUUGGAAAGGAUCAACAAAAUAUCUUCGCAUUAUUCGCAAUGGAAUAGGAACAAAGCUGAUAAAGAAGUUGACAAAGUAUCUGAGGAUGCAGAGGAAGAGAAAUAAGGAUAGAACAUAAGGUUCAAAGGCUUGGAAUAUACUGAUUAUGUGUUAAUUAAGAAUUUAAAAGUGUAGUUUACGAAUAUUGCGUAGGAAAAUUUGUUAUGUUUGUUGCAAAACUAAUUUGGAUAUUUUGAAUGUGACUGAAUGUCAUAUAGAGUGUGAUUGGUUA